rnacentral:rRNA from 1 species
GAUGAACGCUGGCGGCAGGCUUAACACAUGCAAGUCGGGGGGAAACGGCUGGUUAGCUUGCUUCCCCGGGCGUCAACCGGCGCACGGGUGAGUAACGCGUAUCCACCCUGCCUCUGACUGAGGGAUAACCCGCCGAAAGUCGGCCUACUACCGCAUGGUACCGUCUGCGGGCAUCCAACGACGAUUAAAGAUUUCUUCUGUCAGGGUAGGGUAUGCGGCUGAUUAGCUGGUUGGCGGGGUAACGGCCGACCAAGGGCACGGUCAGUAGGGGUCCGGAGAGGAAGGGCCCCCACGAUGGAACUGAGACACGGUCCAAACUCGUACGGCAGGCAGCAGUGAGGAAGAUUGGACAAGGGGCGAGAGCCUGAACCAGCCAAGUAGCGUGAAGGAAGACGGCCGUAUGGGUGGUAAACUGCUUUUAGGCGGGGAUAAAGUGUGGGACGGGUGCCUCAUUGAAGGUACCGGAUGAAUAAGGACCGGCUAAUUCCGUG